CCUACGGGGUGCAGCAGUGGGGAAUAUUGGGCAAUGGGCGCAAGCCUGACCCAGCAACGCCGCGUGAAGGAAGAAGGCUUUCGGGUUGUAAACCUCUUUUCUCAGGGACGAAGAAAGUGACGGUACCUGACGAAUACGCCACGGCUAACUACGUGCCAGCAGCCGCGGUACUACGUAGGUGGCAAGCGUUCUCCGGAUUUAUUGGGUGUAAAGGGCGUGGAGGCGGGAGCGAAAGUCAGUUGUGAAAACUCAGGGCUCAACCCUGUGCCUGCAAUUGAAACUGUGAGUCUUGAGUGCUGGAGAGGCAAUCGGAAUACCGAGUGUAGCGGUGAAAUGCGUAGAUAUACGGAGGAACACCAGUGGCGAAGGCGGAUUGCUGGACAGUAACUGACGCUGAGGCGCGAAAGCGUGGGGAGCAAACAGGAUUAGAUACCCGGGUAGUC
rnacentral:rRNA from 1 species